rnacentral:rRNA from 1 species
CCUAUGGGCGGCAGCAGUGAGGAAUAUUGGUCAAUGGUCGGGAGACUGAACCAGCCAAGCCGCGUGAGGGAUGAAGGUACAGAGUAUCGUAAACCUCUUUUGUCAGGGAACAAAGGCGGGGACGCGUCCCCGGAUGAGUGUACCUGAAGAAAAAGCAUCGGCUAACUCCGUGCCAGCAGCCGCGGUAAUACGGGGGAUGCGAGCGUUAUCCGGUUUUAUGGGGUUAAAAGGGUGCGCAGGGGGGUGGUUAAGUCAGCGGUCAAAGCCCGGGGUGCAGCCCCGGCCCGCCGUUGAAACUGGCAGUCUCGAGUUGGAGAGAGGUAUGCGGAAUGCGCGGUGUAGCGGUGAAAUGCAUAGAUAUCGCGCAGAACUCCGAUUGCGAAGGCAGCAUGCCGGCUCCACACUGACGCUGAGGCACGAAAGCGUGGGUAUCGAACAGGAUUAGAUACCCUUGUAGUC